CCUACGGGGCGCAGCAGUGUGGAAUAUUGGGCAAUGGGCGCAAGCCUGACCCAGCAACGCCGCGUGAAGGAAGAAGGCUUUCGGGUUGUAAACCUCUGUCAGCAGGGAAGAACGGUCACUGUGCUAAUCAGCAGUGAAUUGACGGUACCUGCAAAGGAAGCACCGGCUAACUCCGUGCCAGCAGCCGCGGUAAUACGGAGGGUGCGAGCGUUAAUCGGAAUUACUGGGCGUAAAGCGUUCGUAGGCGGUAUGUCAAGUCAAGGGUGAAAUCCCCGCGCUCAACGUGGGAACUGCCUUUGAAACUGGCAAACUGGAGUGUGUGAGAGGAUAGUGGAAGUCCAGGUGUAGGAGUGAAAUCCGUAGAUAUCUGGAGGAACAUCGGUGGCGAAAGCGCUUUACUGGACCAUUAUUGACGCUGAGGAACGAAAGCCAGGGGAGCAAAUGGGAUUAGAUACCCUUGUAGUC
rnacentral:rRNA from 1 species